rnacentral:rRNA from 1 species
CGGCAGCGCGGGRGCAACCCUGGCGGCGAGCGGCGAACGGGUGAGUAAUGCAUCGGAACGUGUCCCGUAGUGGGGGAUAACCCGGCGAAAGCCGGRCUAAUACCGCAUAUKCUCUACGGAGGAAAGCGGGGGAUYCGCAAGRACCUCGCGCUAUGGGAGCGGCCGAUGYCCGAUUAGCUUGUUGGUGAGGUAAAGGCUUACCAAGGCRACGAUCGGUAGCUGGUCUGAGAGGAUGAUCAGCCACACUGGGACUGAGACACGGCCCAGACUCCUACGGGAGGCAGCAGUGGGGAAUUUUGGACAAUGGGGGCAACCCUGAUCCAGCCAUGCCGCGUGCGGGAAGAAGGCCUUCGGGUUGUAAACCGCUUUUAGUCGGRAAGAAAAGGCRCKSGCKAAUACSSUGYGYUYUUGACRGUACCGGMRGAAUAAGCACCGGCUAACUACGYGCCAGCAGCCGCGGUAAUACGUAGGGUGCGAGCGUUAAUCGGAAUUACUGGGCGUAAAGCGURCGCAGGCGGUUCGMMAAGUCUGAUGUGAAAGCCCCGGGCUCAACCUGGGAAUGGCAUUGGAAACUGGCGGGCUAGAGUGUGGCAGAGGGGGGUGGAAUUCCGCGUGUAGCAGUGAAAUGCGUAGAGAUGCGGAGGAACACCGAUGGCG